rnacentral:rRNA from 1 species
AUACGGAGGGUGCAAGCGUUGUUCGGAUUUAUUGGGCGUAAAGCGAGUGUAGGCGGUUUGGCAAGUCGAAUGUGAAAUCCCGAGGCCCAACCUCGGAACUGCAUCCGAAACUGUCAGGCUAGAGUCCCGGAGAGGGUGGCGGAAUUCCCGGUGUAGGGGUGAAAUCCGUAGAUAUCGGGAGGAACACCAGUGGCGAAGGCGGCCACCUGGACGGUGACUGACGCUGAGACUCGAAAGUGUGGGUAGCAAACAGGAUUAGAUACCCUAGUAGUCC